GCUUACGGCCACACCGCCCUGGUUCAGGCCCGAUCUCGUUUGAUCUCGGAAGCUAAGAUAGGUUGGGCCUGGUUAGUACUUGGAUGGGGAGACCGCCUGGGAAUACCAGGUGCUGUAAGCU
ensembl:rRNA 5S_rRNA 5S ribosomal RNA